CACAACAGCAAUAAUCAAUCUUCAUGUGCUCUAAGACCACAACCCUUAGGCUUCGUUUGGUUCGGGUAUAAGCAAGAACUAGUUAUACUGGGGAUAAGUACAAGUAUGGAUUUUCGUAGGAACAAGAGUAUUUUUUUGUUUGGAUGAAAAUGUGAGUAUAAGCUGGAACUAGAAAAAUUAUGUUUGGAUGAAAAUGUGAGUAUAAGGUGAAAUAGUUGGUAGUUAUAAAUAUAAAAUAAUGAUAUUAUCCCUAUAAUUGAAUUUAAAUUUUUAAACUUAUAAUCUUAAAUUGAAAAUUUUAACUUUUAAAUUUUAAAUUUUAAAUUUUGAAAUUAAAUUUAAAAUUGUAAUUUUUAAAAUUUUAAUUUUAAAUUUAAGACUAAAUUUAAAUUUGAAAGAUAUAAAAUAUCAAAUUUAAAAUUACUAAACUAAAAAUAUCAUAUUUAAAAUUUAAAAUUUAAAAUUUAAAAAUAUCAAAUUUAAAAUUUAAAUUAUAAAAUUUAUAAUUUAAAAUUAAAAAUUUAAAUUUUAAAAUUAUAAAUUAUAAAUUUUAAAAAUUUAAAUUUAAAAUAAAAAUCUCUCUCUCUCCUCUCUCUCUCUCUCUCUCUCUC
rnacentral:lncRNA from 1 species